rnacentral:rRNA from 1 species
GACGAACGCUGGCGGCGUGCUUAACACAUGCAAGUCGAACGGAAAGGCCCUGCUUUUGUGGGGUGCUCGAGUGGCGAACGGGUGAGUAACACGUGAGUAACCUGCCCUUGACUUUGGGAUAACUUCAGGAAACUGGGGCUAAUACCGGAUAGGAGCUCCUGCUGCAUGGUGGGGGUGGGAAAGUUUCGGCGGUUGGGGAUGGACUCGCGGCUUAUCAGCUUGUUGGUGGGGUAGUGGCUUACCAAGGCUUUGACCGGUAGCCGGCCUGAGAGGGUGACCGGCCACAUUGCGACUGAGGUACGGCCCAGACUCCUACGGGGGGCAGCAGUGGGGAAUAUUGCACAAUGGGCGGAAGCCUGAUGCAGCAACGCCGCGUGCGGGAUGACGGCCUUCGGGUUGUAAACCGCUUUCGCCUGUGACGAAGCGUGAGUGACGGUAAUGGGUAAAGAAGCACCGGCUAACUACGUG